GUUUUUUUAGGUAAAACUAUUGAAAUAUUCUUCUAAAGGGGUGAAAUGUAGAUAUCUCGAACUAUUGUGUGGUAAAAUUAGCGAGAAAUUAAAGUUUCAAGCUGAAACCGCCUUAAUCCACACCUGACAACAAUCUACAGAUAGACGGACGGACAGACGGACGCAAAGUGAGACGAGACAGAUAACAAUUGCUCGCCUGACCAAUAUAUUUUUCAAACGAAAAUUUCUACUUUUACCAGCGAUUUUUAAUUGUCCUUUCAUACUAUCUGUUUUUUACUUUUUUGAUUUUCGGAGGUCGUGCCAGACUUCACUGUGUUCGCCACAAACAACUAAAAUCAGAAUGAGAUGCAUUUACGCAGUUAUAUUUAUUUUCUUGGGAUCCCAAGCAUACAGUAAUACGGUACAGAAUUCGGCUAAAUAUUUAGGUUGCAAGUGAGAAAUAAAUAUAGACACAGAGAAACAAAUUAAUAAACUAACCUUUCGCUUGAAACAGUAUUUCUAUCUUUCAUUACGCCGGGA
rnacentral:lncRNA from 1 species